rnacentral:rRNA from 1 species
AUGGAGAUUUUCAAGCAUGUCAGAGAAGUUGAUUGCGAUCCUAAUAUCUCCAUUGCUUCUCACAUCUUAUUUACUGUGCCUAUCAUGGUCGCAUCGGCCAGCAGAAGUUGUUCAAAGUUGAAAUUAUUGAAGAAUUAUUUGAGAACAACAAUGACUUAAGAGAGAUUAAAUGGCUUUGCUUCAUUAUCCAUUGUGAGGAAAUUAUUGGAUGAGAUUGACAUCGACCCAAUCAUAAGUGACUUUGCAUCGAGGAAUGUUGAAGAGAAUUUUAAGGUAAUAUGUAUAAAUUAG